rfam:Exophiala spinifera strain CBS 89968 unplaced genomic scaffold supercont1.5, whole genome shotgun sequence.
UCCUCUGUGGCGCAAUCGGUGGCGCGUCUGACUGUUAAGCGCACUUCUAUGCCUAAAACAUAUAAUCAGAAGGUCGACAGUUCGAUCCUGUCCGGAGGAG